CGCUGGCGGCGUGCUUAACACAUGCAAGUCGGACGGAAAGGCCCUUCGGGGUACUCGAGUGGCGAACGGGUGAGUAACACGUGGGUGAUCUGCCCUGCACUUUGGGAUAAGCCUGGGAAACUGGGUCUAAUACCGGAUAGGACUACGGCCUGCAUGGGUUGUGGUGGAAAGCUUUUGCGGUGUGGGAUGGGCCCGCGGCCUAUCAGCUUGUUGGUGGGGUGAUGGCCUACCAAGGCGACGACGGGUAGCCGGCCUGAGAGGGUGACCGGCCACACUGGGACUGAGAUACGGCCCAGACUCCUACGGGAGGCAGCAGUGGGGAAUAUUGCACAAUGGGCGCAAGCCUGAUGCAGCGACGCCGCGUGGGGAUGACGGCCUUCGGGUUGUAAACCUCUUUCAGUAGGGACGAAGCGUAAGUGACGGUACCUAUAGAAGAAGCACCGGCCAACUACGUG
rnacentral:rRNA from 1 species